CCUACGGGAGGCAGCAGUGGGGAAUAUUGCACAAUGGGGGGAACCCUGAUGCAGCGACGCCGCGUGGGUGAAGGAGUGCUUCGGCAUGUAAAGCCCUAUCGGCAGGGAAGAAGCAAGACGGUACCUGACUAAGAAGCCUCGGCUAACUACGUGGCAGCAGCCGCGGCAAAACGUAGGGGGCGAGCGUUAUCCGGAUUCAAUGGGGGUAAAGGGAGCGUAGGCGGCAAUGCAAGCCAGGGGUGAAAGCCCGGGGCCCAACCCCGGGACUGCCCUGGGAAUUGCAUGGCUAGAGUGCGGUAGGGGCAGGCGGAAUUCCAGGUGUAGCGGUGAAAUGCGUAGAUAUCAGGAGGAACACCGGCGGCGAAGGCGGCCUGCUGGACCGCGACUGACGUUGAGGCUCGAAAGCGUGGGGAGCGAACAGGAUUAGAUACCCUUGUAGUC
rnacentral:rRNA from 1 species